GCGCCCUUCGUCUAUCGGUUAGGACCCCAGAUUUUCAAUCUGGUAAGAGGGGUUCGAUUCCCCUAGGGCGUGCCA
rnacentral:tRNA from 1 species